AGUUAAUUAGCUUAUAAGAAAGCUUAUGUUUUGAAAGCAUAGGACAGAAGUUUGAUUCUUCUAUUAACUU
rnacentral:tRNA from 1 species